UUGAAAUUGGCACGGUGGUUUGAGAAGAAGUCGAAAAUGUUGAUAGACAACAUAUGAGAGACAAACGCUCCGGACGCUUUUCGAUCAGAAAAAGCCCACUUGAGUUUUCGGCUCAGAUGAUCUAGAAUGCUCAAGAUGGAGGUGAAUGGAAAGCAUAUUUCCGAUAGAUGCUUGAGCUUUCGAGGAUUCAAAGUGUUCGGUGAAAGAAGUGGAAUACUUGAUCACAUGAUCCCUUCCCUUGCACCAGUAAACAUUGUCGGCGUUUGAUACUUCUGCGGUCACAGACAAUGAUUCUCCGACGUCCGAAUUCACACUCCUAGGAAGCUUUUUAAAAAGGAGAAUAGAAAAUGAAUUACGUACAAAAUAAUAUGCUGAAGAUGAGGAUGAAGAAAACAAAAGCUGUAAAAAUAGAUGACACGACUUCCACAUAGAACGAC